CUCAUCUACCUACUGGUCCCAGAGUCAGUGGAGCUGGGUGGCAAAAGCCACCCGUGCAGCAGUCCCCAGUGCAAGGAACGGUAUACACUGUCUACCUGCCCCUCCCAUGGAAGCCCCUCAAGGCAGCGAGGCGGUCUGAUUCACAAUCUGGAUCUCCAGGCCUGGCACACAACAGAUGCUCAAUAAAUACUUGUUUGAUG